UUAAUCGAAUAUGAAGUGUAUAUCUUCAUUGUUUUAGCAAAAUCAAGAGCAUUUACUCAAGUUUUUCAGGUACAGAUGGGGUCUAAUUAUACGCUGGUCAAAAGUAAACACUACAAUGUCCAUAGUCUAUCAUGGUGGCGCUAAUUACAUGUUUUCAGUGUGUUUUGGCAAUUGCGAGCCAGGAAAUCCGUAUAACUAAACAUGUGAAAAUUCUUCAGACAUCUCGAGUAGAUCUGAAUGAAUUCUGAAUUAAUUUUGUAGCAAUAUAAUGAUCUAAAUAUUUGUGGAUUUGACGGUGAAGGUUAAACGAGUGUAAAGGUGCGAACAGAGCGAGUGGUUCGCGGUCGAUGUCGACAGCACAUAACAAAGGGAUAACCUGCGAUAUUCGGUCUUAAUUAAUCUGCUAUAGGCCUCUAUAAUGACUAUUCACCUUUUAUCAGAUCGAUGUAAACCUGGAUGGUAUCACUUCAAACAUCCACCGCGACAUUCUUCUUUUGUUUUCUUCCAUUCACUCAAAUGUGUCUGAUGAAAUCGAUCGGGGCCGUUUUUUAGUUCAUUGAAACGGUGGUGGUAUUCUCCUAGAAUGUUUCUUCUAUUUAUUGGGUGGAAUGAAAACCUCUUGUUAGGUAAAUUUCGUAUCAUCCACCAUUUAGUUUCCGCUGACAUUUCAUCACUUGUAUCAAACAACACUGCACGAAAUACAGGAUUUUUUAUUUUGAUUAACGCACAACACCUUUACCGAGACCCCCUUGUUCUGUUCGUACCCUAAGAAAGUUGAAUUGUGUACUCUAUUUUCCCUUUACCCACCAAAAUGAACACCCAGUUUUACCAGGAUAUCCGCUAAUUUACUUAGUUUAUACAAAUAUGUGCAUAAAGGUGAAAUUUGGUGUUUUCUAAAAUUAGAAGCCGAUUUUUGGUAAAAUUUUGAUAAUUUCUGGAACCAACAGAAUAUUCCGCUACAGUCCACAAUGAAAUAUUAAUAAAACUAGAAUAAAUUUUUUUUCACUAUCCACUAAACAUCAUCCAUUUCUUCAUACCUACAGCUAUUCUAAGUUUAUCUUUCUUAUCUACCCUAUAUAAAAGUUCACGUAUGUAUGUCAUGUUAAAUAGUUGUUAAACAAGAUUUUUUACUUGUUUUUUAUUCAUUAUUUUGAAAUAAUAAUAUUAAAAAAAUUGUUGAUGUAUAAAAUUCCGAAUGUCUCCAUUCAAAAACAGAAAACGAAUACAAAUAUAUAUAAUGUUAGUUUUUAUUCACCCUAUUAUGGCAAUGUUUAUUAUUUUCAUAAAAUCCAUUAAAAAAAAUUCCAAUGUGCAUGCAUUUCAGGAUAAGAUUCUCCAGUAUAAGGCAAGGAAAAGGAAAAGGUGUCAAAGUGAAAAAAGCAUGCCUAAAGUUGAUUUGCCGUUGUAUGAACUGCUGUUUUAUCUAGACCAAGGAAAUUUAGUUCUAUUUUAGGGAACAACACCAGAUUAUGGCUGAAUAAUUUGACAGACUUUCUGCUCUACGGCUCUAACGUAUAUCACAGAGUUAACUUGAAAAAUGAGACAACUAGGUAUGGGAGCUUGUUCGAAUGAGGCCGAACUUCUGGUGGAGACAGCAAGAACCACAAGGACUAUUCCACAAAGAAUAGGACGACCUACCUAACCAAAUCUGUUUGGUUUAUUUCAUAUAAAUAUCUCUUUAUAAGAUAAAAAAACAAAUUUGAGUAGCUUCUUAAAUUUGAAAAUAAUUAUGAGCAGAACAUGAGGACCGGUCCCAAAAAAUGAAAACGGAGCAUUAUAUCAACGAGGAAGUUAUACUGAAUGACUGAAAAAAGAAACGCUUCGAAUUUACGAAUUUCUUCGGUCUACUCUCAUCAUAAGUCUUUUCUUGCGAAUCUCAUGAAAACGAUUGAUCUUCAAGUAAAACCAUAUAAGCUAUAUACAGUUUUUGUCGAUCUUCUGAAGAAGAAAAAGACGAGAUCGUUUUGGUUGUUUAGUGUUCGACAGAUAUCUAAGAUCAUACCAUAGUUUGAAGAUUUAAUACCAAACAUAUAUUUCCUUAAGGGUUCCUCUGUGUUACAGGUUUUCUGCGAACAUGGUGAAUCUGUUCAUCAGCCAAAUGGCCAACAAAAGGGAAUAGUCGCAGUUUUAACCAAUUGGUCAAAAAGCUGCUUGGUUCAUUAAGCCAUUUUUUUCCAAAAUUAGAUUCCACGGGCGAUUAUAGACACUAGUGCCCUACGAAUCGAAGAAACCACAAAUCACCACAAUUCCUGCCCUACAAAGAAAAAUAUCCCACACGAUUUGUGACUAUUUCACCCUAAAAACACAUCCCAACGAGUCUCUCUCCUUAAGGGCUACCGUUGUUCAAUGUUUGAGAAAUUGGACAGCUAUCAAUGUUAAGUUUGAAGAUAUAGCCCACCCAGAAGACCAAAAAGGCAUUUGCAUAACGGUUAAGUUUCUUAACAUUCAGAUCAACAAAGCCAGUGGGAUUUUUUUUGAUAAAAUUGACUGAAAUGACACACAUAACCAUGAAAUAAAGCCGUUUUUUCUUAUCUAAAUUUUAUGUAUGCUCGUAGACGAGACAAAAAAGGUUUUGACAAUAUGUUUUCAAUCACAAGUUUGUCCUUAGGAGAGGGACAAUGCUAUGGUUUUUUUGUUGAUAAUGUCGUAAAUGCCCGUUCCCACGUGGCACUGCAUACGUAAUAUAUAAACGUGUAAGCAGUAAAGAACUAAGCAUUCUGUCACGAAUUUUCUGAUGUCUUGAUAUGUUCAAAAUGGUUAGCUGUAAAUUGAGUUAAUUAUUUUGAAAUUAUGUUUUUGUAGUGUAUUUAUUAUAUUGCAGUAAUAUUUGAUAAAAUAAUAAAAAAUAUCUGGCA